rnacentral:rRNA from 1 species
GGGAUAACUACUGGAAACGGUAGCUAAUACCGCAUAACGUCUCCGGACCAAAGUGGGGGACCUUCGGGCCUCACACCAUCGGAUGUGCCCAGAUGGGAUUAGCUUGUAGGUGGGGUAAUGGCUCACCUAGGCGACGAUCCCUAGCUGGUCUGAGAGGAUGACCAGCCACACUGGAACUGAGACACGGUCCAG